CGUUGGAACACCGGCUGCCAUACGAUCACCGAAGUUAAGCAACGUAAAGCUUAGGCAGUACCUAGAUGGGUGACCGGUUCGGAAUACCAGGUGGUGCAA